GAAAUGCGAUAAGUAAUGUGAAUUGCAGAAUUCCGUGAAUCAUCGAAUCUUUGAACGCACAUUGCGCCCUCUGGCAUUCCGGGGGGCAUGCCUGUCCGAGCGUCAUUACGCACCCUCAAGCCCGGCUUGUGUGAUGGGCCCCGGCGUCUCGUUCGCGAGACGGGCCCGAAAGGCAGCGGCGGCGUCGACCCGAUGAGCCCGAGCGUAUGAGGACUUCUGUCACACGUUCGCGGUGCGGACCGGCGCCUGCUUGACUUUUCUGAUUAUCCAGGUUGACCUCGGAUCAGGUAGGGAUACCCGCUGAACUUAAGC
rnacentral:misc_RNA from 1 species